UACGAAGGGGGCUAGCGUUGCUCGGAAUUACUGGGCGUAAAGCGCACGUAGGCGGAUCCUUAAGUCGGUGGUGAAAUCCUGAAGCUCAACUUCAGAACUGCCUUCGAUACUGAGGACCUUGAGUUCGGGAGAGGUGAGUGGAACUGCGAGUGUAGAGGUGAAAUUCGUAGAUAUUCGCAAGAACACCAGUGGCGAAGGCGGCUCACUGGCCCGAUACUGACGCUGAGGUGCGAAAGCGUGGGGAGCAAACAGG
rnacentral:rRNA from 1 species